rnacentral:rRNA from 1 species
GAUGAACGCUGGCGGCGUGCCUAAUACAUGCAAGUCGAGCGAACAGACGAGGAGCUUGCUCCUCUGACGUUAGCGGCGGACGGGUGAGUAACACGUGGAUAACCUACCUAUAAGACUGGGAUAACUUCGGGAAGCCGGAGCUAAUACCGGAUAAUAUAUUGAACCGCAUGGUUCAAUAGUGAAAGACGGUUUUGCUGUCACUUAUAGAUGGAUCCGCGCCGCAUUAGCUAGUUGGUAAGGUAACGGCUUACCAAGGCAACGAUGCGUAGCCGACCUGAGAGGUGAUCGGCCACACUGGAACUGAGACACGGUCCAGACUCCUACGGGAGGCAGCAGUAGGGAAUCUUCCGCAAUGGGCGAAAGCCUGACGGAGCAACGCCGCGUGAGUGAUGAAGGUCUUCGGAUCGUAAAACUCUGUUAUUAGGGAAGAACAAAUGUGUAAGUAACUAUGCACGUCUUGACGGUACCUAAUCAGAAAGCCACGGCUAACUACGUG